AUGAAGAAGGCUCCAGAGCAGCACAGGAUGACCGCCUCGGUGUUGACUGUUGUGACCGUAGUGGUCACGGUGGUGGCAGUGGUGUUGGCGAAGAGGACGGUGAUAGCGGAUGUGGGGAUGGCCCAGGAGGGGUUUGUGAUGGUGGCAAAGGCGGUGGCGCACAAGUGGUUGGAGGCUUUGGUGGACAGUAUGGCAGCUACCAAGGAAGAGAGGAUGACGGCUGCAGAUGCAGAAAGGACGACGACAGUAGAGGAGAAAUCGUGGGUGACAAGGGUUAUGGAGAUGUGCCUGGAGAUGGUGAUGCAGAAGACAAUCGAAGGGUUGGUGCAGAAAGUGACAGCAGUGCUGGCGGAGAUGACAGUGGAGCAGAUAACUGUGGCAUCGGCAGUGCUGCCGGUGGUGGCAGCGGUGGUGGCCAUGGCACUAAGGUUCAUCAAGGAACCCGUCCAAGAAGAAGCCAUCAUGAUGGUGCUCUGCUCCAUCGCUGAGGAGAGGAAGAAGAGAGCUAAAAAGAAGGGCGCAAGGUUUUGGGCUUUCUUUGUAGGUCUGUUCAGAGCCCAAUCCAAAGAAACUGUUGAGGAGAAGGCUUGGAGUCCUUUAGAUGCAUGGAUUAGCAGACUCUCGAAGUCAGUUCCUCAGGCCCUAAUGGAGCUGCCAGCUGAUAAGAAGCAAAAGCUCUUGAAUGAAUGUAAGGGCAUCAUCAGGGAUCUGAAGUACACAGAUGACAAGAUGCUGAACAGACUGGUCAUGGGUAGUGAGGACCUGAAGCAGCAGCUGAUGUGGAAGCUGAAAAAGUACCUCAACGAAUAAACUUCAGUAAUAAGAGCCUGGUGCAAAACUCGGAAGACUCCAGAGAGGACCGAUGGAAAGGCGAGGCUUACCCCAGCAUGCAGGCCUACCCCAGCCCCCUCCCCAGGGGCAGCCACUGUGCCCCGGUCUUGGGUAUUCCCUUACUCCCCUUGAAAUGGUCUUUGGAAACCAUUCAUUUCCUUGCGUUUGUGUUUAUUGAUGAAAGCUUAGAAAAAUCCAGAAAAGAAUCAGGAGACCACUAUCAGUGUUACCACCCAGAAAAUCAUCCUUAAAGGAAUGUGUUAAACAUUCCUCCAGCUUCAGCACACCUUCUAAUACCACGUGUCGGCAUCUCCAACAUACUCACAUUCUUCCCGUUCAGACUUCUUUGAACAUUGUUACCAAUUAACACUAACAUAUGUGACGUCGUCCUUUAAAAUGUUUUGUAAAUAUGCGUCAUGGCUGUGGAGCAUCCCGGCACUGAGCCGGGUCCCCGGUGUGGUUUUCCCUGCUGCAGCGAACAUUUUGUGUUAACCUCCUUCCUUCACAUCUUGGACUCGCACAGACACGUUCCCCAGAGUAAGACUG
rnacentral:lncRNA from 1 species